AUCCAGCUGACGAGUCCUAAAUGGGACGAAACGCGCAUCUUGGAU
rnacentral:hammerhead_ribozyme from 1 species